AUUUCUUUAGUAUAAAAAGUAUAUUUAACUUCCAAUUAAAAGGUUUAACUAUUAAAAGAAAUA
rnacentral:tRNA from 1 species